AAAAAUAUAACGACGGAGACAUACUUAGUCGUGUGAAUUUAAAGAGAGCUGAUGGUUGGUGUAAAUCAGCAAUUCAACGGUUAAUGUUCCACUCCCGAAUAGAUAUGCUGAAUUUUAUAGUAGGCUUAUCCGAAUCAUACACGUUACGUAUAUGCGGAGGUUGUACUAAUUACUGUACAACAAAUUAGGGUGGUACCACGAAGGAAUGUUAACAAUAGCCUUUCGUCCCUUAC
rnacentral:ncRNA from 1 species